rnacentral:rRNA from 1 species
AUUGAACGCUGGCGGCAGGCCUAACACAUGCAAGUCGAACGAGUGGCGGACGUGUGAGUAAUGUCUGGGAAACUGCCCGAUGGAGGGGGAUAACUACUGGAACCAGUAGCUAAUCCCGCAUACCAUCGGAUGUGCCCAGAUGGGCUUAGCUAGUAGGUGGGGUAACGGCUCACCUAGGCGACGAUCCCUAGCUGGUGUGAGAGGAUGACCAGCCACACUGGAAAUGAGACACGGGCCAGACUCCUAAGGGAGGCAGCAGUGGGGAAUAUUGCACAAUGGGCGCAAGCCGGAUGCAGCCAUGCCGCGGGUAUGAAGAGGGCCUUCGGGUUGUAAAGUACUUUCAGCGAGGAGGCGUUACGCGCAGAAGAAGCACCGGCUAACUCCGUGCCAGCAGCCGCGGUAAUUC